rnacentral:rRNA from 1 species
UACGUAGGAGGCAAGCGUUGUCCGGAAUCACUGGGCGUAAAGCGCACGUAGGCGGCUUUCUAAGUCAGGGGUGAAAUCCUGGAGCUCAACUCCAGAACUGCCUUUGAUACUGGAGAGCUUGAGUCCGGGAGAGGUGAGUGGAACUCCGAGUGUAGAGGUGAAAUUCGUAGAUAUUCGGAAGAACACCAGUGGCGAAGGCGGCUCACUGGCCCGGUACUGACGCUGAGGUGCGAAAGCGUGGGGAGCAAACAGG